AUACUUACCUGGUAGGGGAAACACCAUGAUCUGGAAGGUGGUUUUCCCAGAGCGAGGUUCACCCAUUGCGCUGCGGGUGUGCUGACCUCUGCGAUUUCUCCAAAUGCGGGAAACUCGGCUGCAUAAUUUGUGGUAGUGGGGGACUGCGUUCGCGCUCACCCCUG
rnacentral:snRNA from 1 species